rnacentral:misc_RNA from 1 species
GAUGAAGAACGUAGCGAAAUGCGAUAAGUAAUGUGAAUUGCAGAAUUCAGUGAAUCAUCGAAUCUUUGAACGCACAUUGCGCCCGCCAGUAUUCUGGCGGGCAUGCCUGUUCGAGCGUCAUUUCAACCCUCAGGCCCCCAGUGCCUGGCGUUGGGGAUCGGCGUGGGCGGCGAACGGCCCUCCGGAGCCCGAGCCAAUGCCUGCCGGCCCCGAAAUUCAGUGGCGGUCUCGCUGUAGUCCCCCUCUGCGUAGUAGCACAACUCGCAUUGGAGCUCGGCGGUGGCCAUGCCGUAAAACACCCCACUUCUGAAAGUUGACCUCGGAUCAGGUAGGAAUACCCGCUGAACUUAAGCAUAUCAAUAAGCGGAGGA